ensembl:snoRNA
GGUCAAUGAUGAGUUGGCAUGUAUUCUGAAUCUAAAGUUGAUUUUACUACUUUAGCUCUAGAAUUACUCUGAGACCUG